AAGCUCGUAGUUGAAUUUCGGGGUUAGUAGGUUGGUCAUGCCUCUGGUAUGUACUGGUCUCACUGAUUCCUCCUUCCUUAUGAACCGUAAUGCCAUUAAUUUGGUGUUGCGGGGAAUUUGGACUGUUACUUUGAAAAAACUUAGAGUGUUUAAAGCAAGCUAACGCUUGAAUACAUUAGCAUGGAAUAAUGAAAUAGGACGUUCGAUCUUAUUUUGUUGGUUUCUUAGGAUUGACGUAAUGAUUAAUAGGGAUAGUUGGG
rnacentral:rRNA from 1 species